rnacentral:rRNA from 1 species
AACGAACGCUGGCGGUAUGCUUAACACAUGCAAGUCGAACGAACAAAAUUGGGGCUUGCUCCAAUUUUAGUGAGUGGCAAACGGGUGAGUAACACGUGGGAAUCUACCUAUCAGUACGGAAUAACAUUUGGAAACAGAUGCUAAUACCGUAUAUUCUCCAAGGAGGAAAGAUUUAUCGCUGAUAGAUGAGCCCGCGCAAGAUUAGGUAGUUGGUAGGGUAAUGGCCUACCAAGCCUACGAUCUUUAGCUGGUCUGAGAGGAUGAUCAGCCACACUGGGACUGAGACACGGCCCAGACUCCUACGGGAGGCAGCAGUGGGGAAUAUUGGACAAUGGGCGAAAGCCUGAUCCAGCAAUACCGCGUGAAUGAUGAAGGCCUUAGGAUUGUAAAGUUCUUUUAGUUGGAAAGAUAAUGACGGUACCAACAGAAAAAGCCCCGGCUAACUCCGUGCCAGCAGCCGCCGUAA